GAUGAAGAACGCAGCGAAAUGCGAUAAGUAAUGUGAAUUGCAGAAUUCAGUGAAUCAUCGAAUCUUUGAACGCACAUUGCGCCCGCCAGUAUUCUGGCGGGCAUGCCUGUUCGAGCGUCAUUACAACCCUCAGGCCCCCGGGCCUGGCGUUGGGGAUCGGCGGAGCCCCCCGUGGGCACACGCCGUCCCCCAAAUGCAGUGGCGGUCCCGCCGCAGCUUCCAUCGCGUAGUAGCUAACACCUCGCGACUGGAGAGCGGCGCGGCCACGCCGUAAAACACCCAACUCUUCUGAAGUUGACCUCGAAUCAGGUAGGAAUACCCGCUGAACUUAAGCAUAUCAAUCAGCGGAGGA
rnacentral:misc_RNA from 1 species